rnacentral:rRNA from 1 species
UGGGGAAUAUUGGACAAUGGGCGCAAGCCUGAUCCAGCAAUACCGCGUGAAUGAUGAAGGUCUUCGGAUUGUAAAGUUCUUUUAGUGGAGAAGAUAAUGACGGUAUCCACAGAAAAAGCACCGGCUAACUUCGUGCCAGCAGCCGCGGUAAUACGAAGGGUGCUAGCGUUGUUCGGAAUCAUUGGGCGUAAAGCGUAUGUAGGCUGUUUAGUAAGUCAGUUGUGAAAGCCCCGAGCUUAACUCGGGAAUUGCAACCGAAACUGCUUUGCUAGAAUUUGGUGGGGGAUAGCGGAAUUCUUAGUGUAGGGGUGAAAUCCGUAGAUAUUAAGAGGAACACCGGCGGCGAAAGCGGCUAUCUACACCAACAUUGACGCUGAGAUACGAAAGCGUGGGGAGCAAA